rnacentral:tRNA from 1 species
UAAAAAUUAGUUAAUAUAUAACAUUAAAAUGUCAUUUUAAAAUAAUUAUAAAUAUAAUAUUUUUAA